GUUGAGUUAUGUGUUGGUUUAGUUCAGCGUUAGUUUGCACAUAAUAGAUAAAGGAAAUGUAAAUUGCAACCAUCUUCCUUAGCCAAAUCACUUGUCUAUAACUAUAUUAACAAAAUUUGAAUGAGCCAGGAAAUAUAAAAUAAGUAGCACCAAGCAUUGACCACUGAGCUGCAUCUUUCUCGCACAUCUAGCUAAAAGACUAUGUUUUAUCGUGCUGAAAUAAACAAUUUACGUUGUUUCGGUCAGUCUGACAUUAUUUUUAGAUUAAAUCUACAAAAGUGGGACAGAGUGUGAGAAAGAAAUUUUUUCUCUCGUGUUGAAAGCAAAAAUGUCUGAGUAUUGGAAAUCACUUCCUCGUAAAUUUUGUGAAUCUUGCAAAUGCUGGUUUGCAGAUAAUAAAGCAAGUAUAGAAUUCCAUGAAAGAGGCAAACGUCACAAGGAAAAUGUUCAGAAAAGGAUACAUGAA